rnacentral:rRNA from 1 species
UCUAUCGAUGAAGAACGCAGCGAGAUGCGAUAAGUAAUGUGAAUUGCAGAAUUCAGUGAAUCAUCAAAUCUUCUGACACGCACCUUGCGCGCCUUGGUAUUCCGAAGAGCAUGCCUGUUUGAGUGUCAUGA